rnacentral:rRNA from 1 species
UACGUAGGUGGCAAGCGUUGUCCGGAAUUAUUGGGCGUAAAGCGCGCGCAGGCGGUCCUUUAAGUCUGAUGUGAAAGCCCACGGCUCAACCGUGGAGGGUCAUUGGAAACUGGAGGACUUGAGUACAGAAGAGGAAAGCGGAAUUCCACGUGUAGCGGUGAAAUGCGUAGAGAUGUGGAGGAACACCAGUGGCGAAGGCGGCUAUCUGGACAGAAACUGACGCUGAGGCGCGAAAGCUAGGGGAGCAAACAGG